rnacentral:rRNA from 1 species
GACGAACGCUGGCGGCGUGCUUAACACAUGCAAGUCGAACGGAAAGGCCCCCAUCUUGGUGGGGUGCCCGAGGGGGGAAAGGGGGGGUUACACGGGGGUGAAUCGCCCUGUAAUUCGGGAUAAGCUUGGGAAACUGGGUCUAAUUCCGGAUUGGAACCAGGUUUAGGGUUCUCUGGGGGAAAGAUUAAUGUUUUUGUGCAGGAAGAGCUCGCGGCCUAUCAGCUUGUUGGUGGGGUAAUGGCCUACCAAGGCGUCGACGGGUAGCCGGCCUGAGAGGGUGGACGGCCACAUUGGGACUGAGAUACGGCCCAGACUCCUACGGGAGGCAGCAGUGGGGAAUAUUGCACAAUGGGCGCAAGCCUGAUGCAGCGACGCCGCGUGGGGGAUGACGGCCUUCGGGUUGUAAACUCCUUUCGUUAGGGACGAAGCCGCACUUUUUUUGGGUGUGGUGACGGUACCUUUGUUAAGAAGCACCGGCUAACUACGUG